rnacentral:rRNA from 1 species
UACAGGGGGGGCAAGCGUUGCUCGGAAUCACUGGGCGUAAAGCGCACGUAGGCGGCUUUCUAAGUCAGGGGUGAAAUCCUGGAGCUCAACUCCAGAACUGCCUUUGAUACUGGAGAGCUUGAGUCCGGGAGAGGUGAGUGGAACUCCGAGUGUAGAGGUGAAAUUCGUAGAUAUUCGGAAGAACACCAGUGGCGAAGGCGGCUCUCUGGUACGUGACUGACGCUGAGACGCGAAAGCGUGGGGAGCAAACAGG